UAAAAUGACAUCAACUCGUCUAAACUCAUAUAAACCAACCCACACUGUACAUGAGCCCCCAAAAUUUCCCCCUUUUCAAUGCCCCAUUCUCACACAAUUUUUAAACGUGAAAGCUAAUAGCCAGAGAUAGAAAAAUUGAGAAUGAGAAAUAGAAAGAGAGCCGAGAUCUGCUACAGAUUCACACUAUCGCCGUCAAUGCAUCUGAACCAUAUCUCCUUGUCGCCGAUCAGAACAUUAUCGUCACCACCACAAUAAAAAUAAAGAGAUUGAAAAGGAAGUUGAUCUGAAAAGAAAAGAAUAAGAAAAAGAGCAAAAGUUGAGAAGAUCAACGGACAAGCAGAGAGGUGUCUCUCUUCUCUCCAUUUCUCAGUUGGUCUUCCUUCAACAGUAUCUAGAGCGGUUGAUUGGGAGGACAUGAAAAAAACAAAGUACUCACGGAAAUGACGAAGUAAAUUGAUGAGAUUACUGCAUCGAGGCUUGGAAGAUUGGUUUUAUGUUUUAGUUUGGUUAUUUUGUAAUGCACAAUAGAAAUUUUAUUUUGUAUUAGAGUUGAACAACUGAGAGUAGAAACUUAAUCAAAUUUAUAUGUAAGUUUGUAUUUGAACUAAAAUUAUUAUGCACUUCGUAAUGAAAUUUAAUGUUAUGUUUAAAUUUGUGUUGC